CAGUCGCCGCGGGAAUACGAAGGGUGCAAGCGUUACUCGGAAUUACUGGGCGUAAAUCGUGUGUAGGUGGUUGUUUAAGUCUGUCGUGAAAGCCCUGGGCUCAACCUGGGAAUUGCGAUGGAUACUGGGCGACUAGAGUGCGGUAGAGGAUAGUGGAAUUUCCGGUGUAGCAGUGAAAUGCGUAGAGAUCGGAAGGAACAUCUGUGGCGAAGGCGACUAUCUGGGCCAACACUGACACUGAGACACGAAAGCGUGGGGAGCAAACAGGAUUAGAUACCCCAGUAGUCCCUGUCUCUUAUAA
rnacentral:rRNA from 1 species